UGCUUUGUAGCGGGAAAAUGUCAUUUCUAACAACAGAGAAAAUACUUUGGAACGUCUAGGAGGCGGCGCAGUUCAAUGGAUAUUUAUAAACAUGACAUUGGAAGGUGACAAAACAUCCUCAUUAUAACACGGCCGUAAAAAGGACAAUCCAGCAGGGUGUUGCGGUCGCAGCGACAAUAGCCCCCUGAAAGGAAAGAUGUGACGAAGCUGGUGUGCGCAGAUGAAGGGGGAGGGGCUUCCAAUGAGUCUUGUGCAGCAGCAGCAGAGGCUACAGUGCCGGCAGCCCUCCUGCAGCCCCUCUGCAGCCCCGGACCCUGACGCUACCAACCCUAUUGCUUGACUGUGCAAGACAAUUGUCUAACAGUUUAGUCAGUAACAAUAUGUUGACUCAUUUUCAGUGGAUAGCAAAUAUAUACCACUCAAGACGCGGUACACUGACUACUCUUCUAUACUCUUCUAUUUCUAUAGUAUUGUCCACUGUAAAAACACAACUAUAAUAAAAAUGGUUGCUAGAAUGGGAGGGAGGUACUGACUUGUGUGAGAUACUGUAUGGGCCAGCAUAUCCAAGAUGUGUUGUUCCUACUUCCGUCUUUGCUGGCCUAGAUACCCCACCUCUCAGAUUUCCCGAAGGCUGAGCCUUGGGCUUUUUGUCAACGGUGUUAUAAGAUAGCUUGGGCCAGGACGCCCAGUCCCAGGGGCUGCAACAUUGGCCCAGUGCAACUUUGUGCCUUCUUCCUCCCUGUGAGACCCUCCCUCCUCCUGUCAGUAGUGCAAGCGGCGGGAGAAAAGAGCCGAUUGUUCAGAGACAAGAGAGAUGAAUUUGUCUGGCCCAGACAGGUGAAGAAAGGCAGUCUGAAAGGGACUUGUCAGUGGCUGAGGAUCACGUGGCUGGAGAGUGUCCCACAUUUGAGUGAGAAUGCAGCGUGUCAACUUCUUCUACCUUUUGUGCACAGAUGUGAAUUCCUUCAUUCUCACUUUUCUGAGGAGGUUUUAUGUCAGCUGAAGGGUUUACGGGACUUUAUACUUGCCAACACCAUGGUUGGGUACACCUGCACAGUCUACUGGGAUCCGACACAAGAACU